ACUUUUAAUUUUUAACUCUCAUUUGUUGUAAUCUUCUUUUUUGUUUUAUUCUUUAUAGUCAUUUUUUAGUAAAAUAGUUUUGAUUUUUUGAAUUUUGGAGAGGGGAUUUAAAAUUUGUUUUUUAAACUGGACUAGUACCCAGGUAAUCAAAGUUUAUUAAUGCGGGAGUAAAGUUUUGUUUAAACCGAAAAAAUAUUGACUGACUUUGGAUUUUUCUUUGGAACAUGUAUAUUUGGAUAGUCCUCCUUAUAUUGGAAUUUUAUAGGCGCAUGUAUGAUUGUUUAGUUUUUAUUUUUUUUGUAACGCUCUUGUAUUUUGUGUAGAAAAAACAGAUAGAUACUUGGCUUAUGAGUUUCGUUUUUAUGUGUUACUAUUAUAAAUUUUUUUUGGAUGUUUUUUUAGUUUUUUGAUUGAAAUUGGAAAAGAAAGUAAUUUUUUUUUUAUGUUUUUAUGAAUUUAAAAGCG
rnacentral:rRNA from 1 species